UCCAAUGUGGUGUAGUGGUUAACAUUGCUGUCUUUCAUGUACUAUCACAGCAGCCCGGGGUUCGAUUCCCCGCAUUGGAA
rnacentral:tRNA from 1 species